UACGUAGGGUGCGAGCGUUAAUCGGAAUUACUGGGCGUAAAGUGUGCGUAGACGGUUAUUUAAGUCGGGUGUGAAAGCCCCGGGCUCAACCUGGGAAUUGCAUUCGAGACUGAAUAGCUAGGGUACGGUAGAGGGAAGCGGAAUUUCCGGUAUAGCGGUGAAAUGCGUAGAUAUCGGAAGGAACAUCAGUGGCGAAAGCGGCUUCCUGGACCAGUACCGACGUUCAGGCACGAAAGCGUGGGGAGCAAACAGG
rnacentral:rRNA from 1 species